UGUAAUUUCAAUAUACUUUAGACCACAUAUCACUAAGAAAGGGUAAGGAGUUAAAAAGUUGCUAAAAACAUCGUGAUUAAUGAACGAACCCUAAGAAUAAUAAAGAUCUAACUUUAAUUUUAUGUCUGACUAUUGUAGUUAUAUUUUGACUCAUCAGAGCACCUCUAUGUACCGACAGAUGUAUGUAAGUAGUAGCCUGUGAUUGUAUACUAAUAAAAUCACAGUAGACUGAAUUGCUAUUAAUACCGUAAAUAUUUUGAAAUUGAUCAAUAAAAAUCAUUAAUUAAACAUUUUUAUAGUUUCGAAAUAUGUGCAUAUUUGUGAUUUUUAUUACAAUUUUUUUAAGUUAUGAUUAAAUGUUUUGUUAUAAUUAGGGAUAAAAGUUGAUAAUGAAAGUAAGUAGCGAGUAUAGUAUAAUAUAUGUGGCAUUCUUUUAAAACUUGUUUCAAUAUAUAAAAAUAAUUCUUAUUAAAUUUAUUAUUUAUUUACAUUCUAAAAUCAAUUACGAAUCCGAAGUUAGUGUUAGUUAGUAAAUUUUAUUUAUAACAAAAUAUAAAAAAAAAUUGUCAGCUUGCGAAUAAUGCCACAUAUAUUUUUAAAUUAUUUUAGUUAAUUAUGUGUACAAGUAUGAUCGAAAUUAAUUUCAAGUAUGGAUACAGAACUUAUUAAGCGAGAGUAUUUUAUUUUGGAGUCGAAAUUUUACUUAUUUUUGUAACGUUUAAAUAAAUAGAUACUUAGUAAGUGUAAGUGAUAUAGUGAUAUAUUUAUAAUUAAUAUUAACAAUUUUGUAAUUGUUUUUGUUUAUACAGAUUAGAAUAAUUUUGUAAGUUAAUGUAAAUAUUGAAUGAAAUGAUUGUGUAGAUAAAA